AUUGAACGCUGGCGGCAGGCCUAACACAUGCAAGUCGAGCGGAAGACGGGAGCUUGCUCCUUGAUUCAGCGGCGGACGGGUGAGUAAUGCCUAGGAAUCUGCCUGGUAGUGGGGGACAACGUUUCGAAAGGAACGCUAAUACCGCAUACGUCCUACGGGAGAAAGCAGGGGACCUUCGGGCCUUGCGCGAUCAGAUGAGCCUAGGUCGGAUUAGCUAGUUGGUGAGGUAAUGGCUCACCAAGGCGACGAUCCGUAACUGGUCUGAGAGGAUGAUCAGUCACACUGGAACGGAGACACGGUCCAGACUCCUACGGGAGGCAGCAGUGGGGAAUAUUGGACAAUGGGCGAAAGCCUGAUCCAGCCAUGCCGCGUGUAGGAAGAAGGUCUUCGGAUUGUAAAGCACUUUAAGUUGGGAGGAAGGGCAGUAAGUUAAUACCUUGCUGUUUUGACGUUACCGACAGAAUAAGCACCGGCUAACUCUGUGCCAGCCGCCGCGGUAAUAC
rnacentral:rRNA from 1 species